rnacentral:rRNA from 1 species
UACGUAGGGGGCAAGCGUUGUCCGGAUUUAUUGGGCGUAAAGAGCGUGUAGGCGGCCAGGGAGGUCCGUUGUGAAAACUCGAGGCUCAACCUCGAGACGCCGAUGGAAACCCCCUGGCUAGAGUCCGGAAGAGGAGAGUGGAAUUCCUGGUGUAGCGGUGAAAUGCGCAGAUAUCAGGAAGAACACCCGUGGCUAAGGCGGCUCUCUAGUACGGUACUGACGCUGAGACGCGAAAGCGUGAGGAGCGAACAGG